CAAAGAAUAAGCACCGGCUAACUUCGUGCCAGCAGCCGCGGUAAUACGAAGGGUGCAAGCGUUACUCGGAAUUACUGGGCGUAAAGCGUGCGUAGGUGGUCGUUUAAGUCCGUUGUGAAAGCCCUGGGCUCAACCUGGGAACUGCAGUGGAUACUGGGCGACUAGAGUGUGGUAGAGGGUAGCGGAAUUCCUGGUGUAGCAGUGAAAUGCGUAGAGAUCAGGAGGAACAUCCAUGGCGAAGGCAGCUACCUGGACCAAC
rnacentral:rRNA from 1 species